AGAUAUUCCCGCACUUGCAA
rnacentral:snRNA from 1 species